GGGCCGGUAGCUCAACCUGGCUAGAGCGUCCGCCUUUUAAGCGGACGGUUGCGGGUUCAAAUCCUGCCCGGCCCA
rnacentral:tRNA from 1 species